UACAUACUCCCUUCAUCCGAAAAUACUUAUCUUAAAAAUGAAAAAAAUGAAGUAUCUAUAACUAAAAUAAGUCUAGAUACAAUCGUUUCGAGGACAAGUAUUUCCGGACGGAGGAAGUACAUG
rfam:Triticum aestivum genome assembly, contig: Triticum_aestivum_CS42_TGACv1_scaffold_433409_5DL